rnacentral:rRNA from 1 species
UACGUAGGGGGCUAGCGUUAUCCGGAUUUACUGGGCGUAAAGGGCGCGUAGGCGGGCUCUUAAGUCAGGGGUGAAAUCCUGGAGCUCAACUCCAGAACUGCCUUUGAUACUGGCGAGCUUGAGUCCGGGAGAGGUGAGUGGAACUCCUAGUGUAGAGGUGGAAUUCGUAGAUAUUAGGAAGAACACCAGUGGCGAAGGCGGCUCACUGGUCCGGUACUGACGCUGAGGUGCGAAAGCGUGGGAGCAACAGG